UACGUAGGGUGCGAGCGUUAAUCGGAAUUACUGGGCGUAAAGCGUGCGCAGGCGGUCUGUUAAGACCGAUGUGAAAUCCCCGGGCUUAACCUGGGAACUGCAUUGGUGACUGGCAGGCUUUGAGUGUGGCAGAGGGAGGUAGAAUUCCACGUGUAGCAGUGAAAUGCGUAGAGAUGUGGAGGAAUACCGAUGGCGAAGCAGCCUCCUGGGCCAACACUGACGCUCAUGCACGAAAGCGUGGGGAGCAAACAGG
rnacentral:rRNA from 1 species